AUUGAACGCUGGCGGCAUGCCUUACACAUGCAAGUCGAACGGUAACAGGUCUUCGGAUGCUGACGAGUGGCGAACGGGUGAGUAAUACAUCGGAACGUGCCCGAUCGUGGGGGAUAACGCAGCGAAAGCUGUGCUAAUACCGCAUACGACCUACGGAUGAAAGCGGGGGAUCGCAAGACCUCGCGCGGACGGAGCGGCCGAUGGCAGAUUAGGUAGUUGGUGGGAUAAAAGCUUACCAAGCCGACGAUCUGUAGCUGGUCUGAGAGGACGACCAGCCACACUGGGACUGAGACACGGCCCAGACUCCUACGGGAGGCAGCAGUGGGGAAUUUUGGACAAUGGGCGCAAGCCUGAUCCAGCCAUGCCGCGUGCAGGAUGAAGGCCUUCGGGUUGUAAACUGCUUUUGUACGGAACGAAAAAGCUCUCUCUAAUACAGGGGGUGAAUGACGGUACCGUAAGAAUAAGCACCGGCUAACUACGUGCCAGCCGCCGCCGUAAUAC
rnacentral:rRNA from 1 species